rnacentral:rRNA from 1 species
GUGUGUAAGCGCUGUGAGGCGUUGAGCUAACCCAUACUAAUUGCCCGUGAGGCUUGACCAUA